UACGGGGGGGGGCAAGCGUUGUUCGGAAUUACUGGGCGUAAAGGGCUCGUAGGCGGCCAACUAAGUCAGACGUGAAAUCCCUCGGCUUAACCGGGGAACUGCGUCUGAUACUGGAUGGCUUGAGAUUGGGAGAGGGAUGCGGAAUUCCAGGUGUAGCGGUGAAAAUGCGUAGAUAUCUGGAGGAACACCGAUGGCGAAGGCAGCCCCCCUGGGUCAAGACUGACGCUCAUGCACGAAAAGCGUGGGGGAGCAAACAGG
rnacentral:rRNA from 1 species